rnacentral:rRNA from 1 species
UACGAAGGGUGCAAGCGUUACUCGGGAUUACUGGGCGUAAAGCGUGCGUAGGUGGUUCGUUAAGUCUGAUGUGAAAGCCCUGGGCUCAACCUGGGAAUGGCAUUGGAUACUGGCGAUCUAGAGUGCGGUAGAGGGCAGUGGAAUUCCCGGUGUAGCAGUGAAAUGCGUAGAGAUCGGGAGGAACAUCUGUGGCGAAGGCGACUGCCUGGACCAGCACUGACACUGAGGCACGAAAGCGUGGGGAGCAAACAGG